UGGAUGCUGACGAGCGGCGGACGGGUGAGUAAUGCAUAGGAAUCUGCCCGAUAGUGGGGGAUAACCUGGGGAAACCCAGGCUAAUACCGCAUACGUCCUACGGGAGAAAGGGGGCUCCGGCUCCCGCUAUGGGAUGAGCCUAUGUCGGAUUAGCUAGUUGGUGAGGUAACGGCUCACCAAGGCCACGAUCCGUAGCUGGUCUGAGAGGAUGAUCAGCCACAUCGGGACUGAGACACGGCCCGAACUCCUACGGGAGGCAGCAGUGGGGAAUAUUGGACAAUGGGGGAAACCCUGAUCCAGCCAUGCCGCGUGUGUGAAGAAGGCCCUCGGGUUGUAAAGCACUUUCAGCGAGGAAGAACGCCUAGCGGUUAAUACCCGCUAGGAAAGACAUCACUCGCAGAAGAAGCACCGGCUAACUCCGUGCCAGCAGCCGCGGUAAUACGGAGGGUGCAAGCGUUAAUCGGAAUUACUGGGCGUAAAGCGCGCGUAGGUGGCUUGA
rnacentral:rRNA from 1 species